CCCAUAAAAUACGAUCCUUCGGGCAUGAUCUACCUUAAUUUGAUGACUUUUAGUUGAUUUAUAUUAAUUUUAUUUCAUACGAAAACCGUGCGAAGAAUUAAAGCUCGCGUGUUGUGAAUUUUCUUUCCAUCUUUCCACUUUGAUUAUUAUUUGCAUGCGAAUGCAACAUUCAGCGAAAAGGUCUUUUAAACAUAACGUGAUUUAGGUACAGCGCAGAGCUCGCGUUGUGGUUUUCCCCCGAGCCAAACAAUAAUGCGCGUGUGAUGCUGGCACACAAAUCCUGUAACCGAACCGUUUAAUCGUAUUUACCAGAAAGCAGCGAAACCCUGUUAUACUAACUCGAUGUAAUAUUUAUAGAGAACCGUGAUAUUCGACGCAGCAUUACAUCACUUUGUAAAUAUAAGUUGUCCUUAAAGAUCCGCGAAGAUAGUUUGUUGCCAGAGAGUACGAAAUUCUGUGUCGAAAAGUAUUUAAAAGUUUAUUGAUCCGAGAACUCCCUGAUGAGUUAUCAGCGAUUGAAAGCUCGACCAAUCGGAGACGCGCAGAAGUUGGCGUCGGUGGGCGGGGCGAUGCUUCUGAUUGGUUCCAUUUCGAAGUUGAAUAUUUCCAGAAGUAUUGGUCGGACAAAAAAACUCCCAAAGACUUUUCGGCUCAGAAUUCUAUUCCGCAUCCGAAGAGUGACAACUCAUUACGAUUUUAAGGACACCCUAUACCUGGGUGCAAGUACACUUCUGUUUCCUACGAUACGCGAAUGCAUCGAAUUAGAAUUUAAUAACGAGUAACAUGUAACUGAAGCUCGAGAGGUUGCUAAUUAUUCCUGAAAAUUAUCCAGGUGUACACAGAACUGAAUUUAGCAAAACGAAAAUCGAGAGAAUUGUUUAUUUAGUAAAUUAAUGUAUUCGCACAUAACAAACGGGUCGACGAUUCGCAUGACAAUUUCGGCGAACUGCAUUCAUACUUGCAUCAAUAACGAACCAUUUUCCACCGGAACAACCCGAAAUUUGCAGAUGGAAUAGCGAUUCAAAAAUUUUUCAAUAAUUCCAUCUAUUCGAAUAACAAUUUUGAUCUUCGCAUGGAAAUAAAUUCCAGCGAAAGCGUAAACAACCAGCACGAACAAAUCCUCGACUAUUUUCAUUAGUCCAAGCAACUGAAUCGCCUGUAAUUACACACAAAAACUUUUCUCUCCCCAACUCCCAUAAGCCUAACAUAUUAGAACGACGAUCCACAGGAAUGUGAUCUCCGGUACGUAUGUAAACAGACAGAUUAAAAUAUAAUUCUGCACUGAUGAGGAAAUUCCUCUUGAAACUGAAUCUUACCACUAACCACUAUUUAAUUCCUCGUGUUAUUUGAUACAUCAUUUUUUUUCAACUCAAGCCCUCUUGAUACUCGAGACUAAAUACAAAUCCACACAAAAUAUUAAAAUUACGAUGACGAAGAGUGACGUUCCUGUAUCUGGAACAAGACUAUUUAUCCAAGCUCAAAGAAACAUUGUUCGAUAAUGAAAUAUAAAUAAAUUGUGAACCAAAAAAUUUCAGAGUUGAUCGCAACUGCUGAGAUUGUCGUGAAAAAUAACACGAAAAGAUCUUCCUUCGAAACUGAAUGAUUAAAGCCUUUUCUGAAAAAAUAAUUUUUCCAACAACUUGGCCAAGUUCUGUAUACAAAUACAUAAUUUAUAACCGUUGAACAUAUACAGUUAUUAUUUCGUCGAGACUCUUGUCGUAUGGCAAUUGAGGAUGAUGAAUAAGCGACGCUCUUGAAACACUUGUCAUUAAAACAACACAUGAAAUCUACUCUGUACUGCUUGAGUAUGUACAGGGUGUCUCCAAAGUGGGGGAAGGAGACUUUUACAGAAAAAAUUAAGCGUGGGUUAUCGCAAAGUAAUAUUGGUCGAAAUGGAAAUAAAAAAGUGGCUAUUUUUCGUGAAUCGCUCGUUUGUUCUGCUCUGCGGAAGAAUGGGCCGAAAAUUUCGAGAUUCCCUGAAAACAGAGCCGCACACAUUCGUGUUUAGAAGCAUGACGCCGAAUGAUCUUCGCGACCAACGGAAUUUCCGAGAUUGUGGAAGCGUCGCAGGCGUUUUCAACCGCUUGACUGGUGUGCAGACGAAAUAUUAAGGUACGAGACUUCCUCAUCGACAAUAGGCCUCGUUUACGGGUUAAUGAAUUCUCCAAAAAGCGUCAUAAAGGCUUCCAAUCGGUUGACACUUCAGAGACUCGGUUCGGUCAAUGUCACACGGACUGUCUCAUUUUCCACGUACAGACCGGUCGAUAACACGGAGAAUUCGCGUCGUAGAAUUGAUCGAGCAAUCCAAGAAACGCUUCAACUGCAUGCUCAGUAUUUCUACGGAUACUUCAAAUACAGUGUGUCCCAAAAGUCACGGUAAACUUAAUUCGAGGCUGAUCGUCCAUUUUUUGAAAGUUUAUCCUUCUGCUUGAGAUGUUGAGAAAAAAAAGUUGCUCAUUCACCAAAAUGCUUUUUCGUUGUAUCAAAAAACGAUGAAUUCAACUGUUUUUUUUUUUUUUUUUUGAGAAAUUAUUUAUCGUUUGGAAAAAAUAUAAUCGAAUCCAUUGUUUUCGUCUUUCUAAAUGGAUUUUGCUCGAUGAACAAAAUUUUCUGCAGUGUCCAAUCCGACGAAUUGACAAUUAUUGUUUAAUCGGUAUUUCGUUAAGGGGGGUCCUGCUUUAGAAAGUUAAAAAAAUCGAUUGUUUCCGAGAAUGUUUUUGGAUAGACGGAAAUAACUCACGAUAGCGAACUUUUGAUAUUUCAAAAGCACAAAAACGCUUUUUCAUGUGAGAAAUACUAAUUUGUAUAUCGUUUAUGCGCAAAGUCUGUUAAAGUUUCUCAGCUGCAUAGAAUGUGGAGAUCGGAAUUAUUGUCUGGAACGAAAAUUCCAAGUUCUUUUCCCAUUUUCAUAUAUUUUCCUUCCAUAUGAACCUAUGAAAACCCGAAAAAAUUGCGAAGUUCUAUAUUUUUAACGAGUUUGAAAAAAACCUCGUGAAAUAUCCUUGAAACUGUAUCGAAAAGUUUGCUAUGGUGAGGUAUUCCCGUUUAUCCAAAAAAAUUCCCGAAAACAAUCGAUUUUUUUGACUCCCUUAAGCAGGACCCCCAUAAAACUGUGUGUUGUAAAUGGAAAUGGCUAAUGACUUAUAUUUUCAGAUUUUCCCAACACAUUCGCCCAAAAAUCGACAGGUUUGAACUGCCAGACACACUGUAUGCGUCGCAGGCGAAAAUAACUCGCGUGUUUAUGAACGAAUUAUUCGUUCUCGCAUUCGGUAGCGCAUUCGUUUAAAGAGAUCGCGUUUUCUCUCUCCCUCUUUUCCUGUGUGUCUGUGCCAUUAUUUUUCUCUUUUUUCUCUCCAUCUCCCUCUAGUGAGCGUCUCUUUAUCCUCGAGCCUACAAAAGCAACGUUAACACGCGAUUACGUAAAAUUUACGCACGACACUCGUUACCACUUUUCUCCCUCCUUUUGCCUUCUCACUUGCGGUUUUGUCGCGUUGCGUAAGCGCUGUUCAACACUAUCGAACUUCAGUGACUUUUCGCUCGCUCUAUGGCUCACCAAUACCGAUUAAUCGAUCAUCGAUAAUGUGGAAUUUCAUCGAAUUCACAUUCCCAGCAACGCUUUCGUCCCGCCGAUGAAAAAUUCUUCGAUUCAUUAUUUUUAGCAUAUAUUUUCCUCGAUAUUCGAUCAAAUUCUUUUGCAGUUUAACCGAAAAAUAUUUUCCAGAGCCUCACGAUGCAUGGAUUUUCGAUGGGUUUCUUCCCUCGACUUCGUUUUCCUGAUUUUAUUGUUCAAUUAAAUUUCAAUUGUAAAUUAAUUAAUACACUUCGGUCGUAAUUGGACUAUCAAAAUGAGGAGGGCAUUCCACCGAGUCUCGAGCAAUCAAGCUCUGGUCAUUAGCAGACCUUAGACGGAAGCUCAUUCGCUUCACUUUGAUGCAAUACUGCAGCUCUCUGCGUUGACACCCUGUUGUGACUGAUUACGAUCGUUCAAUAUCUUCCGGAAAUACAACGGAGCACCAUAUAACAUCGUGCUUUGCAAUCCGACAGCGAAUUUAAGUGAAUGGAAUCGGAAAGUGUACGGGAAUAUGGGACAUUCCGAUCGCGGGGUUUUCCAGAUCCGCACCCAAAAUCCAAGAAGACAGAUUCGUUGAAUUCUCACCGACAACUUCAAAUCGAACUAAAUCGUAACGUUUUUGCCUUGUUCGAUUGAGAACAGCCUGUAAAUUUGGUUACAAUGACAGUGUGAGGGUGGAUCGCAUCGUUGGCAACGCACAGAGCAUCGGUGCCGCGUACAGUUUGAGUAAUUGUAAUUGAGCAUUGCUCUUGGUAAUCCGAAUACGUACUGUAUAAACCGGAGAACACUGUCCCCGACUAUGUAUAAUAUUCACAACGGAGAACAGCCCGACCUGCUACGUGCACAAAACAAUUGACGUGUCUCCAGGAAUCAUCCGAAUGGAUCAAUGAGCGAGUGGCUUUGAACUCAUUUCCGGAUUAUACGAUGAAUUAUUGGCGUUGUAAAAAUCGUCGUUAAAGUAGUUCACUCGUUUUAUGACUAGUCAAGUUUGCAACUACUUUAUGUUGAUUUAUUUCAAGUCUAAAUUAUUAAUAAUAUUAAUAAACACUUACAUUGAUAAUAUUUUUAUGAUAAGAAUGUAAUA